UACAGAGGUCCCAAGCGUUGUUCGGAUUCACUGGGCGUAAAGGGUGCGUAGGUGGCCAAGUAAGUUUGAUGUGAAAGCUCGGAGCUUAACUCCGAAAUGGCAUUGAAUACUCUCUGGCUUGAGGGUUGGAGGGGAGAGUGGAAUUCCUGGUGUAGCGGUGAAAUGCGCAGAUAUCAGGAAGAACACCCGUGGCGAAGGCGGCUCUCUGGGACGGUACUGACGCUGAGACGCGAAAGCGUGGGGAGCGAACAGG
rnacentral:rRNA from 1 species